rnacentral:misc_RNA from 1 species
AAGUCGUAACAAGGUAACCGUAGGUGAACCUGCGGUUGGAUCAUUAAAAAAUUACUUUCGAUCGGGAGAAUUGCAAAAUUCAAUCAAACCCGAGAGAAAAACACACCGUGUGCACCAUAUUUUGUCUUUGCCUCAUUUCGAUGGCGCUUGCGCGUCAAAUGUGACUCUUAAAAACAGUCGCGUCGGGUGAGGCAACAGUGUCAAACCACUAGUUCAACAAUUUGUCGUUUAUUAUACAAACUAUUAAUUAUUUCACUUGUGAAGUAAAAAACAACUUUUGACAACGGAUCUCUUGGCUCUC